rnacentral:rRNA from 2 species
GGAUUAACGCUGGCUGUGUGCUUAAUACAUGCAUGUCGAACGAGUAGCUUGCUACUAGUGGCGAAUGGGUGAGUAACACGUGCCUAAUCUACCUUUCAGAUUGGGAUAACAAGCGGAAACGCUUGCUAAUACCGGAUACGCAAUAAUCUCGCAUGAGAAUGUUGUAAAAGGGGCGCUUGCCCCACUGGAAGAUGAGGGUGCGGAACAUUAGUUAGUUGGUAAGGUAAUGGCUUACCAAGACUAUGAUGUUUAGCCGGGUCGAGAGACUGAACGGCCACACUGGGACUGAGAUACGGCCCAGACUCCUACGGGAGGCAGCAGUAAGGAAUAUUCCACAAUGGGCGAAAGCCUGAUGGAGCGACACAGCGUGCACGAUGAAGGCCCUCGGGUCGUAAAGUGCUGUUGUUAGGGAAGAACACUUAGUGGAGGAAAUGCCACUAAGCUGACGGUACCUAACCAGAAAGCGAUGGCUAACUAUGUGCCAGCAGCCGCGGUAAUACAUAGGUCGCAAGCGUUAUCCGGAAUUAUUGGGCGUAAAGCGUUCGUAGGUUGUUUAUUAAGUCUGGUGUUAAAGCCCGGGGCUCAACUCCGGUUUGCAUCAGAUACUGGUAAACUAGAAUGAGAUAGAGGUAAGCGGAAUUCCAUGUGAAGCGGUGAAAUGCGUAGAUAUAUGGAAGAACACCAAAGGCGAAGGCAGCUUACUGGGUCUAUAUUGACACUGAGGGACGAAAGCGUAGGUAGCAAACAGGAUUAGAUACCCUGGUAGUCUACGCUGUAAACGAUGAUCAUUAGUCGGUGGAGAGUUCACUGACGCAGCUAACGCAUUAAAUGAUCCGCCUGAGUAGUAUGCUCGCAAGAGUGAAACUUAAAGGAAUUGACGGGGACUCGCACAAGCGGUGGAGCAUGUGGUUUAAUUUGAAGAUACGCGGAGAACCUUACCCACUCUUGACAUCUUCCGCAAAGCUAUAGAGAUAUAGCGGAGGCUAACGGAAUGACAGAUGGUGCAUGGUUGUCGUCAGCUCGUGUCGUGAGAUGUUCGGUUAAGUCCGAUAACGAGCGCAACCCCUAUUUUCAGUUAAUAACAGAUAGAGCUGAUAACUCUGGAAAUACUGCCUGGGUAACCAGGAGGAAGGUGGGGAUGACGUCAAAUCAUCAUGCCUCUUACGAGUGGGGCGACACACGUGCUACAAUGGUCGAUACAAAGAGACGCAAUAUAGUGAUAUGGAGCAAAUCUCAAAAAAUCGAUCUCAGUUCGGAUUGAAGUCUGCAACUCGACUUCAUGAAGUAGGAAUCGCUAGUAAUCGCAGAUCAGACAUGCUGCGGUGAAUACGUUCUCGAGUCUUGUACACACCGCCCGUCACACCAUGGGAGCUGAUAAUGCCCGAAGCCGGUUUGUUAACUUCGGAGACGACUGUCUAAGGUAGGAUUGGUGACUGGGGUGAAGUCGUAACAAGGUAUCCCUACGAGAACGUGGGGAUGGAUCACCUCCUUUCUACGGAGUACACCUGUUCGAAAGAACAACAAAUACAACAAUAUACAAUUCAACAAUAAAUUCAUUACAACAAACGUAYAAAAAAACAUUUAUUAGUUUAUGGACUACUAUUUAUAUCCAGUUUUGAGGGUUCUAUCCUCAAAUAGAUCUUUGAAAACUGAAUAGAAAAGACAUUUGUAAUAUAAACAAAACAAUAUUUCAAACGUUUUGAUCAACCUAUAGAAUACAUAUCAUAUCUAAUUUCUAAUUUUAAAAAUAUAACAAUUAGGACAAUAGGUCAUACUAUUAAAUAAGUAAGAGUUUUUGGUGGAUGCCUUGGGUCUGGAAGUCGAUGAAGGACGCGAUUACCUGCGAUAAGCCUCGUGGAGCUGGAAAUAAGCUACGAAACGGGGAUUUCCGAAUGGGGRAACCUAACUAGAUUAAUCUUUAGUUACUACAUGAUGAAUACAUAGUCAUGUUAGAGAGACACGUUGAGAACUGAAACAUCUUAGUACCAACAGGAACAGAAAAUAAAUAAUGAUUCCCUGAGUAGCGGCGAGCGAACGGGGAAGAGCCCAAACCAGCACUUGAUGCUGGGGUUGUAGGACCACUUACAUAGAGUUACAAAAUUCACAGAUAGCAGAAGGAGUUGGAAUGCUCCGCRAUAAAAGGUGAAAGCCCUGUAAGCGAAAUUUGUGAAUCUCUUAGUGGUAUCCUGAGUAGGGCGGGGCACGUGAAACCCUGUCUGAAUCUGCCGGGACCAUCCGGUAAGGCUAAAUACUAACCAGACACCGAUAGUGAACUAGUACCGUGAGGG